AUUGAACGCUGGCGGCAGGCUUAACACAUGCAAGUCGAGCGGGGAAAAGUAGCUUGCUACUUAACCUAGCGGCGGACGGGUGAGUAAUGCUUAGGAAUCUGCCCAUUAGUGGGGGACAACAUCUCGAAAGGGAUGCUAAUACCGCAUACGUCCUACGGGAGAAAGCAGGGGACCUUCGGGCCUUGCGCUAAUAGAUGAGCCUAAGUCGGAUUAGCUAGUUGGUGGGGUAAAGGCCUACCAAAGCGACGAUCUGUAGCGGGUCUGAGAGGAUGAUCCGCCACACUGGGACGGAGACACGGCCCAGACUCCUACGGGAGGCAGCAGUGGGGAAUAUUGGACAAUGGGGGGAACCCUGAUCCAGCCAUGCCGCGUGUGUGAAGAAGGCCUUUUGGUUGUAAAGCACUUUAAGCGAGGAGGAGGCUACCGAGAUUAAUACUCUUGGAUAGUGGACGUUACUCGCAGAAUAAGCACCGGCUAACUCUGUGCCAGCAGCCGCCGUAACAC
rnacentral:rRNA from 1 species